rnacentral:rRNA from 1 species
AUGGACACCGGCGAGCAAGCCGGGGAGGAGUCGUCGGCCAACCGCCGGGAGCGCCUCCUCGCCCUCCGCUCCUCCGCCGCCGCCGCCGCCGCCUCCAACUCCUCCUCCUCGCCGUCUGCCGCGCCGCCGCCGCCCGCGUGGGAUCUCCCGGAGCCCGACCUGGCGCCCACCUCCUCCGCCCCGCGCCCGCGCUCGCGGUUCGACUUCUACACCAACCCCGGCGCGGCCUUCUCCUCCUCCGCCGCCGCCGUCCCGCAGAAGCGCAAGAGCGCCGACCCCCCGGGCCCCAAUCCCGCCCCGGCCCCGCCUCACGGGAACUCUGGCAACAAUUAUCCUCCUCCACACCAGCACCAUAUGGCCCAAUCUCCGAUGGAAGGUGCACCAGGGAAUAGUCCAUGGAGAAGUCCUAUGCAGUUCCAGACUCCUAUGUCUGGAUACCGAGGAACACCUCCUGGACCUCCACCUCACUGGAACCCACAUUCUGCUUCUCCAGCUCAAGAUCCGUAUCCACAUCAACCCAACUUUGGGUUCAGAGGCCCUAAUGUUGGCCGAGGGGGCAGCCCGAUGAAUUAUGGACCAGGAGGUAGCCCGAUGAAUUACGGACCAAGAGGUAACCCGAUGAAUUACGGACCAGGAGGUAGCCCGAUGAGUUACGAACCAAGAGGAAGCCCGAGGAGUUAUGUACCAAGAGGUAGCCCGCACUCGUCUUCCGGACGUGGCAGGGGCGAGAACUACUACCACAGCCCAGGUUCGAGAGGAAGAGGGGGAAGGGGUGGCUUCCAGAACCAUUCUGGUUCGCAAGAUCAGAGGAACUUCUACAGGAAGUCUAUGGUUGAUGAUCCUUGGCAGGGCUUGCAGCCUAUCGUUGGCAGCAUACUGAAACCCAUCGAUGACGCCAAGUCCUGGCUUCCAGAGUCAUUGCGCAAAAAGGAGACACCUAAUCAAGGCCGAACAAUAUCAAAUCCAACAUCAGGGUUGAGUCUGGCAGAAUACCUCGCCUCGUCUUUCAACGAGGCUUCUAACGAGUCUAAUGAGAUGUGA